AAUGGGGGAAACCCUGAUCCAGCAAUGCCGCGUGUGUGAUGAAGGCCUUAGGGUUGUAAAGCACUUUCACUGGUGAAGAUGAUGACGGUAACCAGAGAAGAAGCCCCGGCUAACUUCGUGCCAGCAGCCGCGGUAAUACGAAGGGGGCGAGCGUUGUUCGGAAUUACUGGGCGUAAAGGGAGCGCAGGCGGUUCAUUAAGUUAGGCGUGAAAGCCCCGGGCUCAACCUGGGAACUGCGCUUAAUACUGAUGAACUAGAAAACAGGAGAGGGUAGUGGAAUUUCCAGUGUAGAGGUGAAAUUCGUAGAUAUUGGAAAGAACACCGGUGGCGAAAGCGGCUACCUGGCCUGAUUUUGACGCUGAGGCUCGAAAGCGUGGGGAGCAAACAGGAUU
rnacentral:rRNA from 1 species